CGGAGAAAAGGAAUAUGUUUCUGCCGGCGACCCGCCGCCCACUCUCGCAGGAGUCUCGGGUCUCGCGAAGUAACGAAUUGCUUUACGGCACAGACCCCCAAACAAGGAACCGGCUCGAUAUAAACACAAGUCACUAAGGGAUUGUUAUAUUCAUCAUAGAUCAGCCGACUAAAAAUAUACAGAGAAACCCAAUGUCGGAGGAACAGAAGAAGAGAAAAGGGAGACUGACCGGCAGAGAGGCCAGACACGAACUGCAAAUCAGACGCCGACUCGGCCGUGUUGCUUUUGAAAUGGCCCUCGAAAGUACCCUUGGGUGGCCUUUGUCUUCGUGGUAUUCUUGAUGUUGAUAGUCUCUGUACAAAUGUGUUUGCUCAACCAUUUUGUUGUGAGCCCUGUAAAAAUUGUUUUCUCGAC